GAUGAACGCUGGCGGCGUGCCUAAUACAUGCAAGUCGAGCGAACGGACGAGAAGCUUGCUUCUCUGAUGUUAGCGGCGGACGGGUGAGUAACACGUGGAUAACCUACCUAUAAGACUGGGAUAACUUCGGGAAACCGGUGCUAAUACCGGAGAAUAUUUUGAACCGCAUGGUUCAAAAGUGAAAGACGGUCUUGCUGUCACUUAUAGAUGGAUCCGCGCUGCAUUAGCUAGUUGGUAAGGUAACGGCUUACCAAGGCAACGAUGCAUAGCUGACCUGAGAGGUUGAUCGGCCACACUGGAACUGAGACACGGUCCAGACUCCUACGGGAGGCAGCAGUAGGGAAUCUUCCGCAAUGGGCGAAAGCCUGACGGAGCAACGCCGCGUGAGUGAUGAAGGUCUUCGGAUCGUAAAGCUCUGUUAUUAGGGAAGAACAUAUGUGUAAGUAACUGUGCACAUCUUGACGGUACCUAAUCAGAAAGCCACGGCUAACUACGUG
rnacentral:rRNA from 1 species